rnacentral:rRNA from 1 species
GAUGAACGCUGGCGGCGUGCUUAACACAUGCAAGUCGAACGAAGCACUUUAUUUGAUUUCCUUCGGGACUGAUUAUUUUGUGACUGAGUGGCGGACGGGUGAGUAACGCGUGGGUAACCUGCCUUGUACAGGGGGAUAACAGUUGGAAACGGCUGCUAAUACCGCAUAAGCGCACGGCAUCGCAUGAUGCAGUGUGAAAAACUCCGGUGGUAUAAGAUGGACCCGCGUUGGAUUAGCUAGUUGGUGAGGUAACGGCCCACCAAGGCGACGAUCCAUAGCCGACCUGAGAGGGUGACCGGCCACAUUGGGACUGAGACACGGCCCAAACUCCUGCGGGAGGCAGCAGUGGGGAAUAUUGCACAAUGGGCGAAGGCCUGAUGCAGCGACGCCGCGUGAGCGAAGAAGUAUUUCGGUAUGUAAAGCUCUAUCAGCAGGGAAGAUAAUGACGGUACCUGACUAAGAAGCACCGGCUAAAUACGUG